rnacentral:rRNA from 1 species
UCGCACGAGAACGUUCUGGCUUUGCCAGGACAAGUACAGUGGCGGACGGGUGCGUAUCGCGUAGAUAACCUGCCCUUAGACGCGGGACAAUCACGGGAAACCGUGGCUAAUACCGCACGUCGUCUGGGCCCCGCAUGGGGACCAGAUGAAAGCUUGGGGUUACCCAGGCGCCUUGGGAUGGGUCUGCGUUGGAUUAGCUUGUUGGUGAGGCAACGGCUCACCAAGGCGACGAUCCAUAGCUGGUCUGAGAGGACGAUCAGCCACACUGGGACUGAGACACGGCCCAGACUCCUACGGGAGGCAGCAGUGGGGAAUCUUGCACAAUGGGGUCACCCCUGAUGCAGCCAUGCCGCGUGGAGGAAGACACCCCUAUGGGGCGUAAACUCCUUUUCUGAAUGAAGAAACCCCUGUAGGUUCAGGGCGCGACGGUAGUUCAGGAAUAAGCACCGGCUAACUCCGUGCCAGCAGCCGCGGUAAUACGGAGGGUGCAAGCGUUGUCCGGAAUCACUGGGUGUAAAGGGUGUGCAGGCGGGGCAACAAGUCGGAUGUGAAACCCCAUGGCUCAACCAUGGAGGUGCAUUCGAAACUGUUGCUCUUGAGUCCCGGAGAGGCUGUCGGAAUUCGUGGUGUAGCGGUGAAAUGCGUAGAUAUCACGAGGAACACCAGAGGCGAAAGCGGGCAGCUGGACGGGUACUGACGCUCAGGUACGAAAGCGUGGGGAGCAAACAGGAUUAGAUACCC